AUUGAACGCUGGCGGCAGGCCUAACACAUGCAAGUCGGACGGUAGCACAGAGGAGCUUGCUCCUCGGGUGACGAGUGGCGGACGGGUGAGGAAUGUCUUGGGAUCUGCCCGAUAGAGGGGGAUAACCACUGGAAACGGUGGCUAAUACCGCAUAACGUCGCAAGACCAAAGAGGGGGACCUUCGGGCCUCUCACUAUCGGAUGAACCCAGAUGGGAUUAGCUAGUAGGCGGGGUAAUGGCCCACCUAGGCGACGAUCCCUAGCUGGUCUGAGAGGAUGACCAGCCACACUGGAACUGAGACACGGUCCAGACUCCUACGGGAGGCAGCAGUGGGGAAUAUUGCACAAUGGGCGCAAGCCUGAUGCAGCCAUGCCGCGUGUAUGAAGAAGGCCUUCGGGUUGUAAAGUACUUUCAGCGGGGAGGAAGGCGAUAAGGUUAAUAACCUUGUCGAUUGACGUUACCCGCAGAAGAAGCACCGGCUAACUCCGUGCCAGCAGCCGCGGUAA
rnacentral:rRNA from 1 species